GUAUAGCUCAUUUGGUUAGAGCACAGGGCUGCUAAUGCCAAGGUUGCAGGUUCGAUUCCUACAUGGGACA